CGGUAAACAAAGGGGAUAGGGGAGGAGUCUAUGGUGCGAUCAAGAAGAGGGAGAAGGGAUUUUGGGUUAAAGCAAAACAGGGAUUUUUAGAUAUAUAGAUAGGUUAGUUGCUGAUUUGGUUCGAUUUAGGUUUGAUUUGGCUCGAUUCAUGAAUUUUUUAUUUGAUGAUAUCCGACAUGGCAAAAUUAUGUGACUUGGAAUUGUAAUUUUUCACGUCAUCCGUGCAUGUUGUGCAAAACGAGUUUAGUACUCUGACCAUGUGUGCAAUUGUUAUUAAAAAGAAAAAUUUAGAGUGUCACAAGGUCACUUUGAAAGUAGAGGGUUCACAAAACUUUUUUGCGCAAGUUCAGGGAGGCAAAUGAUGUAUUUAGCCUUGCUUUUUAUAUUAGUUAUCGUCUUAAGGG
rnacentral:lncRNA from 1 species